AAGCUCGAAGAUGACGAUGUCAUCGAUUAUAUUUUGAACGGGUUAGAUGCUGACUGUAACCCGUUUGUAUCUUCUAUGUCCAUCAAGGAUAAUGUAAGCUUGAGUGAUCUAUAUGGUCAAUUGCUCUCCUAUGAGG
rfam:Setaria italica strain Yugu1 chromosome VII, whole genome shotgun sequence.